rnacentral:rRNA from 1 species
UGCCGCGUGCAGGAUGACGGUCUUAUGGAUUGUAAACUGCUUUUGUACGAAAAAAAACACUCCUAUGUAUAGGAGCUUGACGGUAUCGGAUAAAUAAGGAUCGGCUAACUCCGUGCCAGCAGCCGCGGUAAUACUGAGGAUCCAAGCGUUAUCCGGAAUCAUUGGGUUUAAAGGGUCCGUACGCGGUUUAAUAAGUCAGUGGUGAAAGCCCAUCGCUCAACGGUGGAACGGCCAUUGAUACUGCUGAACUAGAAUUAUUUUGAAGUAACUACAAUAUGUAGUGUAGCGGUGAAAUGCUAAAAGAUUACAUGGAACACCUCUUGGGAACGCAGGUUACUACUAAUUGAUUGACGCUGAUGGACGAAAGCGUGUGUAGCGAACGGGAUUACAUACCCUGGUAGUCCACGCCGUAAACGAUGGAUACUACCUGUUGGGAGCAAUUUCAGUGGCUAAGCGAAAGUGAUAAGUAUCCCACCUGGGGAGUACGUUCGCAAGAAUGAAACUCAGAGGAAUUGACGGGGGCCCGCACAAGCGUGUGGAGCAUGUGGUUUAAUUCGAUGAUACGCGAGGAACCUUACCAAGGCUUAAAUGUAGAUUGACCGUUUUGG